CAGUAGCCACGGGAAUACGUAGGGCGCAAGCGUUAUCCGGAAUUAUUGGGCGUAAAGAGCUCGUAGGCGGUUUGUCGCGUCUGCCGUGAAAGUCCGGGGCUCAACCCCGGAUCCGCGGUGGGUACGGGCAGACUAGAGUGAUGUAGGGGAGACUGGAAUUCCUGGUGUAGCGGUGAAAUGCGCAGAUAUCAGGAGGAACACCGAUGGCGAAGGCAGGUCUCUGGGCAUUAACUGACGCUGAGGAGCGAAAGCAUGGGGAGCGAACAGGAUUAGAGACCCCGGUAGUCCCUGUCUCUUAUAC
rnacentral:rRNA from 1 species